GUUGAACGCUGGCGGCAUGCCUUACACAUGCAAGUCGAACGGUAACGGGCCUUCGGGUGCCGACGAGUGGCGAACGGGUGCGUAAUACAUCGGAACGUGCCCGAUCGUGGGGGAUAACGAGGCGAAAGCUUUGCUAAUACCGCAUACGAUCUACGGAUGAAAGCAGGGGACCGCAAGGCCUUGCGCGGACGGAGCGGCCGAUGGCAGAUUAGGUAGUUGGUGGGAUAAAAGCUUACCAAGCCGACGAUCUGUAGCUGGUCUGAGAGGAUGAUCAGCCACACUGGGACUGAGACACGGCCCAGACUCCUACGGGAGGCAGCAGUGGGGAAUUUUGGACAAUGGGCGCAAGCCUGAUCCAGCCAUGCCGCGUGCAGGAUGAAGGCCUUCGGGUUGUAAACUGCUUUUGUACGGAACGAAAAGCCUUCUUUUAAUACAGGAGGGUCAUGACGGUACCGUAAGAAUAAGCACCGGCUAACUACGUG
rnacentral:rRNA from 1 species